GGAGGGUAUAGCUCAGUGGUAGAGUGUGUGCUUAGCAUGCACGAGGUCCUGGGUUCGAUCCCCAGUACCUCCA
rnacentral:tRNA from 1 species